GACUACGAUUACAGAAGCAAUUAAUGAAAGGCAAUGAAGUCUCACAACAUAAAGUGCAUCGGCAUGGUUAGUACUUGGAUGGGAGACCGCCUGGGAAUACCGGGUGCUGUAGGCU
ensembl:rRNA 5S_rRNA 5S ribosomal RNA